GUGCUCACUUCAGCAGCAUAUUUACUAAAAUUCAACAAUACAGGGAAGAUUAGCAUAGCCCCUGAGCAAGGACGACACACAAAUUCAUGAAGCGUUCCAUAUUUAA
rnacentral:snRNA from 1 species